GUUAUAUAUUAGGGUAGCAAUUGUUGACAUUACCAGAGAGUCCAUACUUUAUAAAAAAUGAUUUGCCAUAGAAUUUUUCUGUUGCAUUUCAAACUAUUCUGAUUUAAAAAUAGUAACUUCUAAAUUCUCAGGAAGAAAUAUGUGAAGUAAAGCUUGUAUUCAUGUCUGUUUUCAGAUUUCUCCUUUUAUUCUAAUACAAUUCCUAGCUCCUUGCAAUCUUAGUAGGUUAAAUACUGAAUCCCUGGCAGCUUCUUAGGGAUCCCAUAAGUAGAUGAUGAGAAUUUUCAGUGCUUUUUUUUGUUUAAUGGAAAUCAAACUGACUUGUGUUGUAACAUACAAGUUGCCAAAUGAUAAGAUUACAUGAUCUUAAAGGUGUUCUAGGUUUUCUGCAACUAUUAGCUGUGAACCCUAUUGUAGCUAACGUUUAUGAAAUUUUAUAGUCUUUGCACUGACCAAAAAAUUUAAAGAUGAUAUUAAUUUACAUAUACAUGUGGAUCCGAAUACGUAAUUUGUACUUGUUCAGCUGAAAAGGUCAAUAGAACGG
rnacentral:lncRNA from 1 species